rnacentral:tRNA from 1 species
AAUUAUUUAGUUUAAUUUAAAACAAAUGUUUUGAAAACAUUAAAUAAGUUAAUAUAACUUAAUAAUUA